UGGGGAAUAUUGCACAAUGGGCGAAAGCCUGAUGCAGCAACGCCGCGUGAGUGAUGAAGGCCUUCGGGUUGUAAAGCUCUGUCUUCUGGGACGAUAAUGACGGUACCAGAGGAGGAAGCCACGGCUAACUACGUGCCAGCAGCCGCGGUAAUACGUAGGUGGCAAGCGUUGUCCGGAUUUACUGGGCGUAAAGGAUGCGUAGGCGGAUACUUAAGUCAGAUGUGAAAAUCCCGGGCUUAACUUGGGAACUGCAUUUGAAACUGGGUUUCUAGAGUGCGGGAGAGGAAAGUGGAAUUCCUAGUGUAGCGGUGAAAUGCGUAGAGAUUAGGAAGAACACCAGUGGCGAAGGCGACUUUCUGGACCGUAACUGACGCUGAGGCAUGAAAGCGUGGGGAGCAAACA
rnacentral:rRNA from 1 species